rnacentral:rRNA from 1 species
CAAUAGCGUAUAUUAAAGUUGUUGCAGUUAAAAAGCUCGUAGUUGGAUUUCUGUGAGAGUGCCGGUGUCGGCUGAUGCUUGUACGCAGGCGCUCUUACAUCCUUCUGUUAACUGUUCUUGGCAUUUUAUUGCUGGCUCAGGGCUCAGAUAUUUUACCUUGAGAAAAUUAGAGUGUUUCAGGCAGGCUUAUGCCGGAAUACAUUAGCAUGGAAUAAUGGAACAGGACCUGUGCGUCUCUCGGGGCGCCGGUCUCCGUUGUUGGUUUCGGGGACUAAUGUAAUGAUUAAUAGGGAUAGUUGGGGGCAUUAGUAUUUAAUAGUCAGAGGUGAAAUUCUCGGAUUUGUUAAAGACUAACUUAUGCGAAAGCAUUUGCCAAGGAUGUUUUCAUUAA